UACGGAAGGGGCUAGCGUUGUUCGGAAUCACUGGGCGUAAAGCGCGCGUAGGCGGCUUGGCAAGUGAGGCGUGAAAGUCCUGGGCUCAACCCGGGGACGGCGCUUCAGACUGCUGGGCUUGAGUCCGGAAGAGGGUGGUGGAAUUCCGAGUGUAGAGGUGAAAUUCGUAGAUAUUCGGAGGAACACCGGCGGCGAAGGCGGCCACCUGGUCCGGAACUGACGCUGAGGAGCGAAAGCGUGGGGAGCGAACAGG
rnacentral:rRNA from 1 species